UGGGGAAUAUUGGACGAUGGGCGAAAGCCUGAUCCAGCCAUGCCGCGUGUGUGAAGAAGGUCUUCGGAUUGUAAAGCACUUUAAGUUGGGAGGAAGGGCAUUAACCUAAUACGUUAGUGUUUUGACGUUACCGACAGAAUAAGCACCGGCUAACUCUGUGCCAGCAGCCGCGGUAAUACAGAGGGUGCAAGCGUUAAUCGGAAUUACUGGGCGUAAAGCGCGCGUAGGUGGUCUGUUAAGUUGGAUGUGAAAGCCCCGGGCUCAACCUGGGAACUGCAUCCAAAACUGGCAAGCUAGAGUACGGUAGAGGGUGGUGGAAUUUCCUGUGUAGCGGUGAAAUGCGUAGAUAUAGGAAGGAACACCAGUGGCGAAGGCGACCACCUGGACUGAUACUGACACUGAGGUGCGAAAGCGUGGGGAGCAAACA
rnacentral:rRNA from 1 species